rnacentral:rRNA from 1 species
UAAGCGGAGGAAAAGAAACUACAAGGAUUCCCCUAGUAACUGCGAGUGAAGCGGGAAAAGCUCAAAUUUAAANUCUGGUGGUCUUUGGCCAUCCGAGUUGUAAUCUAGAGAAGCGUCUUCCGCGCUGGACCGUGCACAAGUCUCCUGGAACGGAGCGUCGUAGAGGGUGAGAAUCCCGUCUUUGGCGUGGACACACCAGGGCUUUUGUGAUGCGCUCUCGAAGAGUCGAGUUGUUUGGGAAUGCAGCUCAAAAUGGGUGGUGAACUCCAUCUAAAGCUAAAUAUUGGCGAGAGACCGAUAGCGAACAAGUACCGUGAGGGAAAGAUGAAAAGCACUUUGGAAAGAGAGUGAAACAGUACGUGAAAUUGUUGAAAGGGAAACGCUUGAAGUCAGUCGCGUCGACCGAGACUCAGCCUCGCCUCGGCUUGGCGUACUUCUCGGCCCGACGGGUCAGCAUCAAUUUCGCCUCUUGGAUAAUGGCGAGGGAAACGUGACACCUUUACGGUGUGUUAUAGUCUCUCGUCGCAUGCAAGGGUCGGGAUUGAGGAACUCAGCACGCGCCUUUGGGCGUCGGGGCUUUGCCUACGAUACGUGCUUAGGAUGUUGGCGUAAUGGCUUUAAACGACC